rnacentral:antisense_RNA from 1 species
CAGAUUUAGGGCAAAGUUAACACUUCAAAAAAAUCUCCAGUAAUUGAGUAAAUUGCUCAUCUGUCAAAUUGGCUCUUUGGCAAAUUACUCUGCUUGCACAUAUUAAUAGCCAAGCUUAGCCAACUUGAAAUAUGGAGAUUUACUGGAAAUCACAGUGAAGUGAAGAGAGAGGCAAGAGCAGAAUUGAAAUUCCCACCUGGCAGCAAAAGAGAGUUAUGCAGAGCAUAUCAGGACCCGUGUUCACACCAGCACUUAGUUUGGAGGAAGCACCUGGAGGAGAUGCAGAGUCCAGAUGUGCGCCCUCUGCCGGAAGCCUACUGCACCAGGACGUAGGCCUGGAGUGGCCCUUAACGCAUUUGGAAAUCAGUCUUCACUAAAAAAACUUCCUCCAAAAUGUUCUUUAACAGCCCUUUAAAAGCCAUUGUUUCAAAACAGUCCAAGGUGGUGAACAAUUAAUAUUUUCGAUUUACAUGAAGACUCUGGAGUAGGAAUUACCUGAGUUGGAAACUCAGUUCUACUCUAUUGGUAUCAGGUUGCAUUCUGUAUCAUCAUUAAAAUUUUCAGAAAAACUCUC